AACCACAUGCAAAUAUCAUCACGGUAAUUAAAGGAAGAGUCCCAUGUGGUCUAGUUAGUCCCGCCUUGAAGAAAUUUCUUGGGAGAAGUUGGGGAGGAUUUGUUCUUUGCAGAAGGAGGUCAUGAACGAGAGGAAUUUGACUUAGGAAAAGGAGUUUGAGGCUGCAGGCUCCAGGGAGCUCCUGGUGACCCUGAGUGAUUUGGUCCUUUGGUCCAGUGAUGUGGUUAUAUAUUCACCUUGUCUUGCGUGUUCUACUCAGCGGGAAGGAAUCAGGGCCCAGUUCCGAUGCAGAAACUCCCUCUCAGGUCUGAAGUAUGUUGAUCCAAGGUCAGGGUCAUCAGAGAGCCUGUGGUGAGAUUGCUUUCCCUGCCCUUACCAGCACCCUACGGCCUCAGGAUUCCAAAAUAGACCUGAUGUUGGGAUCACGCUUGACCAGCCUAAAGCCUCCCUCUCUUUCCUGGCUUGUUCUCCUGGAAUGGACCUCACAGUGAAUAACCUGUGGCUCCUUCAUCCCUCACGUGCAUCGCCUCUGUUCUCAGAUGUGCCUGGGUAUGCCUUGGUCUUUGGGUGAAUACAACUGAAAAGAGCACCUACAUGUGUUUGACUUCGUUCCCUGCAGGGUGAAAAUAUGUGAACCAAGAGUUGAGCGUUUUGCAAAUCUGUCCAACACACUGAUCAGAACGUGGACUUUGCUUUGCCUCCAUGGGCAAGGAUAAGCCUUUGUUUGUGUGUGUGGGUGUGUAGCAGGUGAAAAUUCUAGAGCCUACUUUAGUACUUUUUUUUAGGCAAUAACUCCCAAAUUUAU
rnacentral:lncRNA from 12 species